GGAGUUGUAGCUCAAUUGGCAGAGCUUUCGAUUCCAAAUCGAAGGGCCGCAGGUUCGAGUCCUGUCAACUUCA
rfam:Babjeviella inositovora NRRL Y-12698 unplaced genomic scaffold BABINscaffold_6, whole genome shotgun sequence.